rnacentral:rRNA from 1 species
UACGUAGGGUGCAAGCGUUGUCCGGAAUUAUUUGGGCGUAAAGAGCUCGUAGGCGGUCUGUCGCGUCUGCUGUGAAAACUCAGGGCUUAACCCUGAGCUUGCAGUGGGUACGGGCAGACUAGAGUGCGGUAGGGAGACUGGAAUUCCUGGUGUAGCGGUGAAAUGCGCAGAUAUCAGGAGGAACACCGGUGGCGAAGGCGGGUCUCUGGGCCGUAACUGACG